rnacentral:rRNA from 1 species
AUUGAACGCUGGCGGCAGGCCUAACACAUGCAAGUCGAACGGAGCGGCGGACGGGUAAGUAAUGCCUAGGAAUCUGCCUGGUAGUGGGGGGUAACGUCCGGCAACGGGCGAUAAUACCGCAUACUAUCAGAUGAGCCUAGGUCGGAUUCGCUAGUGGGUGGGGUAAAGGCCUACCAAGGCGAGGAGCCGUAACUGGUCUGAGAGGAUGAUCAGUCACACGGGAACGGAGAAACGGUCCAGACUCCUACGGGAGGCAGCAGUGGGGAAUAUUGGACAAUGGGCGAAAGCCUGAGCCAGCCAUGCCGCGUGUGUGAAGAAGGUCUUCGGAUUGUAAAGCACUUUAAGUUGGGAGGCGUUACCAACAGAAUAAGCACCGGCUAACUUCGUGCCAGCAGCCGCGGUAAUAC